GGUUAAGCGACUAAGCGUACACGGUGGAUGCCCUGGCAGUCAGAGGCGAUGAAGGACGUGCUAAUCUGCGAUAAGCGCCGGUAAGGUGAUAUGAACCGUUAUAACCGACGAUUUCCGAAUGGGGAAACCCAGUGUGACUCGUCACACUAUCAUUAACUGAAUCCAUAGGUUAAUGAGGCGAACCGGGGGAACUGAAACAUCUAAGUACCCCGAGGAAAAGAAAUCAACCGAGAUUCCCCCAGUAGCGGCGAGCGAACGGGGAGGAGCCCAGAGCCUGAAUCAGCAUGUGUGUUAGUGGAAGCGUCUGGAAAGGCGCGCGAUACAGGGUGACAGCCCCGUACACAAAAGCGCAUGUGCUGUGAGCUCGAUGAGUAGGGCGGGACACGUGGUAUCCUGUCUGAAUAUGGGGGGACCAUCCUCCAAGGCUAAAUACUCCUGACUGACCGAUAGUGAACCAGUACCGUGAGGGAAAGGCGAAAAGAACCCCGGCGAGGGGAGUGAAAAAGAACCUGAAACCGUGUACGUACAAGCAGUGGGAGCACCUUCGGGUGUGACUGCGUACCUUUUGUAUAAUGGGUCAGCGACUUAUAUUCUGUAGCAAGGUUAACCGAAUAGGGGAGCCGUAGGGAAACCGAGUCUUAACCGGGCGUUAAGUUGCAGGGUAUAGACCCGAAACCCGGUGAUCUAGCCAUGGGCAGGUUGAAGGUUGGGUAACACUAACUGGAGGACCGAACCGACUAAUGUUGAAAAAUUAGCGGAUGACCUGUGGCUGGGGGUGAAAGGCCAAUCAAACCGGGAGAUAGCUGGUUCUCCCCGAAAGCUAUUUAGGUAGCGCCUCGUGAAUUCAUCUCCGGGGGUAGAGCACUGUUUCGGCUAGGGGGCCAUCCCGGCUUACCAACCCGAUGCAAACUGCGAAUACCGGAGAAUGUUAUCACGGGAGACACACGGCGGGUGCUAACGUCCGUCGUGAAGAGGGAAACAACCCAGACCGCCAGCUAAGGUCCCAAAGUCAUGGUUAAGUGGGAAACGAUGUGGGAAGGCUCAGACAGCCAGGAUGUUGGCUUAGAAGCAGCCAUCAUUUAAAGAAAGCGUAAUAGCUCACUGGUCGAGUCGGCCUGCGCGGAAGAUGUAACGGGGCUAAACCAUGCACCGAAGCUGCGGCAGCGACACUGUGUGUUGUUGGGUAGGGGAGCGUUCUGUAAGCCUGUGAAGGUGUGCUGUGAGGCAUGCUGGAGGUAUCAGAAGUGCGAAUGCUGACAUAAGUAACGAUAAAGCGGGUGAAAAGCCCGCUCGCCGGAAGACCAAGGGUUCCUGUCCAACGUUAAUCGGGGCAGGGUGAGUCGACCCCUAAGGCGAGGCCGAAAGGCGUAGUCGAUGGGAAACGGGUUAAUAUUCCCGUACUUGGUGUUACUGCGAAGGGGGGACGGAGAAGGCUAUGUUGGCCGGGCGACGGUUGUCCCGGUUUAAGCGUGUAGGUGUGUGUUCCAGGUAAAUCCGGUUCACUUUAACACUGAGGCGUGAUGACGAGGCACUACGGUGCUGAAGCAACAAAUGCCCUGCUUCCAGGAAAAGCCUCUAAGCA
rnacentral:rRNA from 1 species